AGGAAUGUGGGAGCCUUUGGAAUGUUUCGAGCACAGCAGUGACAUGGCCUGACUUAAAAUUUACAGGACAUAGGUGCUGGUUUACAAAUUCACAGAAAUGGACUACGAUGAAGAGAAUAGACAAGGGAGGGCAAAGGCAGAGGCAAGAGUUGUCUGGGGGCUGUGGCAAGCAUCUAACCAGAGACAGUGGCAGAUAGGCAGGGAGCAGCAGCGGAAGCAGAGGCAGGAGACUUUCCUGUCUGAUCAGGUGUGGAGCGUGAAGAUAAAAGAUACAGCAAGAUGACCCCAAUGUAUGGAGCCUGAACAACCAGAAGGAUGGUGGUGCUGGUAAGUAAAAUGGAGGAACCUAUGGGUGAGGUGAGGUGAGGAGGAUCAGGAGUGCAGUGUUGGCCUUGUAAAGUCCAUGUUACUGGCUCCUGGGAGGACUCCUCCUCUUUUCUGAGUGUUCCUGGUGGGCUCAUCAGUCAUGGUACACAACAGCAAAGGCAAAUGACUCAGUCUGACGAAGCCUCAGCUAUUGGUUCAGAGAUGGGUUGCAGCCCAAGUGGGGCCAGUUAGAUUCCUCCAUGGGAUUGAUAUGCAGACAGAAAAGUUCUCUUCCUAUGACGUGCCUAAGCUGAGAAGCCACGAGCCUAGAGCUGCCAAAAGCUGCCUAGCCCAACUCAUGGGAAAGAACUUGCCUGUGAAAUGAAAUUCAGAAAAGACAAGUGGAACAAAGAGUUGAAAAGAAGUUUUAUUUAUUAUGUCUUUAAACUACCCUGGAUCCAGCCUUACCUGGAGGUCACAAAUCCCCACUGAUUACUGAGCCAAUCAUCUAUCUAUUGCCUUUCAGCAUGAAAUGUCUUCGCCAUUACCUACUCUGCAAAGAUAGACCUGGAUCUUUUCAAUACCCUUCUCUUUGCCAGUUGGUAUAACAUUAAGAUUUAUCAGUAGAGGGAGUUGGAGAGACACUACAGGAGGGAGUGAAUUUUUUUUUUCCUCCUGGUCCCAGGAUGCAAAUUGGGCCAACUCCUAGGACACACACAGCUUCCCUCUGGGUCUAGCUCCGGCAGCACAGAUGGCUCCCCGAGCGCCUGGCUCCUGCAGGGCGCAGCAGCAUCCCUUGGCAGCCCUCAGGUGAUCACUCCAUGCAGGGAAAUAUUACUGAGCCA
rnacentral:lncRNA from 1 species